UACAGAGGUGGCUAGCGUUGUUCGGAUUCAUUGGGUGUAAAGGGUGCGUAGGCGGCCCGAAAAGUCAGAUGUGAAAGCCUAGAGCUCAACUCUAGAAUUGCAUUUGAAACUCUCGGGCUCGAGUGUGGAAGAGGUGAAGGGAAUUCCCGGUGUAAGGGUGAAAUCUGCAGAGAUCGGGAGGAACACCAGUAGCGAAGGCGCUUCACUGGUCCACAACUGACGCUGAGUGCACGAAGGCGUGGGGAGCAAACGGG
rnacentral:rRNA from 1 species